rnacentral:rRNA from 1 species
GACGAACGCUGGCGGCGUGCUUAACACAUGCAAGUCGAACGGUAAGACCCUUCGGGGUACACGAGUGGCGAACGGGUGAGUAACACGUGGGUGAUCUGCCCUGCACUUCGGGAUAAGCCUGGGAAACUGGGUCUAAUACCGGAUAGGACCACUGCCUGCAUGGGUGGUGGUGGAAAGCUUUUGCGGUGUGGGAUGGGCCCGCGGCCUAUCAGCUUGUUGGUGGGGUGAUGGCCUACCAAGGCGACGACGGGUAGCCGGCCUGAGAGGGUGACCGGCCACACUGGGACUGAGAUACGGCCCAGACUCCUACGGGAGGCAGCAGUGGGGAAUAUUGCACAAUGGGCGCAAGCCUGAUGCAGCGACGCCGCGUGAGGGAUGACGGCCUUCGGGUUGUAAACCUCUUCCAGCACCGACGAAGCGCAAGUGACGGUAGGUGCAGAAGAAGGACCGGCCAACUACGUGCCAGCCGCCGCAGUAA